ensembl:lncRNA
CAGGGAGGAUCUGGGACAGAAAGGAGAGGAACAGGGGGAUCUGGGACAGAGAGGAGAGGAACAGGGGGAUCUGGAACAGAGAGGAGAGGAACAGGGGAUCUGGGACAGAGAGGAGAGGAACAGGGGAUCUGGGACAGAGAGGAGAGGAACAGGGGAUCUGGGACAGAGAGGAGAGGAACAGGGGAUCUGGGACAGAGAGGAGAGGAACAGGGGGAUCUGGGACAGUGAGGAGAGGAACAGGGGAUCUGGGACAGAGAGGAGAGGAACAGGGGGAUCCGGGACAGUGAGGAGAGGAACAGGGGGAUCUGGGACAGAGAGGAACAGGGGGAUCUGGGACAGAGAGGAGAGGAACAGGGGGAUCUGGGACAGAGAGGAACAGGGAGAUCUGGGACAGAGAGGAGAGGAACAGGGGGAUCUGGGACAGAGGGGAGGGGAGAGGGACAGGGGGUCUGGGACAGGGAGGAGAGGAACAGGGGGAUCUGGGACAGAGGGGAGGGGAACAGGGGGAUCUGGGACAGAGGGGAGAGGAACAGGGGAUCUGGGACAGAGAGGAGAGGAACAGGGGGAUCUGGGACAGAGGGGAGAGGAACAGGGAGAUCUGGGACAGAGAGGAACAGGGGAUCUGGGACAGAGAGGAGAGGAACAGGGGGAUCUGGGACAGAGGGGAGAGGAACAGGGGAUCUGGGACAGAGAGGAGAGGAGAGGAACAGGGGAUCUGGGACAGAGAGAAGAGGAGAGGAACAGGGGAUCUGGGACAGAGGGGAGAGGAGAGGAACAGGGAAUCUGGGACAGAGAGGAGAGGAGAGGAACAGGGGGAUCUGGGACAGAGAGGAGAGGAGAGGAACAGGGGGAUCUGGAACAGAGAGGAGAGGAGAGGAACAUGGAGAUCUGGGACAGAGAGGAGAGGAGAGGAGAGGAACAGGGGGAUCUGGGACAGAGAGGAGAGGAGAGGAACAGGGGGAUCUGGGACAGAGGGGAGAGGAACAGACCCAACCUAAUGAUACAGGUUAACUACCGCUGAGGUUGUGCUGUUCUGGGACCUUGAUUAAAUAAAACCUUCCUGUUGGUCUUAAGCAGAAUAAAACACUACUUCCUCUGUCCAGUUCACUGCUGCCCAACACUGGG